UCGGCCCUACGGGAGGCAGCAGUGAGGAAUAUUGGUCGAUGGUCGGGAGACUGAACCAGCCAAGCCGCGUGAGGGAGGAAGGUACAGAGUAUCGUAAACCUCUUUUGUCAGGGAACAAAGACUGGGACGCGUCCCCGGAUGAGUGUACCUGAAGAAAAAGCAUCGGCUAACUCCGUGCCAGCAGCCGCGGUAAUACGGAGGAUGCGAGCGUUAUCCGGAUUUAUUGGGUUUAAAGGGUGCGCAGGCGGUCUGUUAAGUCAGCGGUCAAAGCCCGGGGCUCAACCCCGGCCCGCCGAUGACACUGG
rnacentral:rRNA from 1 species